rnacentral:rRNA from 1 species
AUGAAUGAGGUGCGGGAACUGUCCUAUGACCUGGAGGACGCCAUCGACGACUUCAUGCAGAGCGUCGGUGACAAAGAUGAAAAGCCAGAUGGUUUCAUUGAAAAGAUCAAAAAUUCACUAGGGAAGUUGGGGAAGAUGAAGGCUCGCCAUCGGAUUGGCAAGGAGAUCCAAGAUCUGAAGAAACAAAUCAAAGAGGUGGGUGACAGGAAUGCAAGGUACAAGGGUCGUCAAACCUUCUCUAGCACCAAAAAUGAAGUUGUAGACCCUAGAAUUCUUGCUAGAUUCGAGCAUGCAUCAAAACUCGUUGGAAUUGAUGAAACCAAAGCCGAGAUAAUCAAGCUAUUAGGCGAAGAAAAUGGACAAGUGCCAAGGCAACAACAACUGAAGAUAGUCUCCAUUGUUGGAUUUGGAGGAAUGGGGAAGACAACUCUUGCAAACCAAGUGUAUCAAGACCUCAAAGGGGAAUUCCAGUAUCGAGCUUUCAUAUCGGUGUCACGAAAUCCAGACUUGAUGAAAAUCCUCAGAACUAUCCUUAGUGAAAUUACCGGUAUAAGCUAUCCUGGCACCGAAGCAGGGUGCAUAGAACAACUCAUCGACAAGAUCAAAGAUUUCCUAGCAGACAAAAGGUAUCUUAUUGUCAUAGAUGACAUAUGGGACAUAAAACAUUGGGAAGUGAUCCGAUGUGCUCUAGCUGAUAAUCAUUAUGAGAAUAGAGUAAUCACAACAACCCGUGAUCGCGACGUUGCACGUAAAGUUGGUGGCGCUUAUGAGCUUAAACCCCUCCCUGAUGAGACAUCCAAAAUAUUAUUCUUUGGAAGAAUUUUUGGUAUUAAUAAUGACUGUCCAGAUGAUUUGGUCGAAGUAUCUGAAACUCUCCUGAAGAAAUGUGGCGGUGUGCCAUUGGCUAUCAUCACCAUUGCUGGUUUAUUGGCCAGUCGGGAAGGGAAUAAAAGGGAGUGGAACAAGUUGUGUGAUUCUAUCGGUUCGGGACUUGACAAUAGUCCUGAUGUGAAGACGAUGAGAAAUAUAUUGGCCCUUAGCUAUCGCCAUCUACCUAUCCACCUAAAAACUUGCUUGUUGUAUCUAAGUAUAUUUCCUGAAGACUACAUUAUUCAAGGAAGCAGAUUGAUAUGGAGGUGGAUAUGUGAAGGUUUUGUUAAUGGGGUACAAGAUGAGGACUUAUUUGAGCUUGGUGAGAGCUACCUCACGGAGCUCAUAAACAGAGGAUUGAUCCAAGCGGUGGACUCCUAUAGGUAUGUCAGGACAACGGAUUGCCGUGUGCAUGACUUGGUUCUGGAAUUUAUCAGCUCCAUUUCUAUUGAAGAAAACUUUUGUACUGUAUUGCAUGAUAAGAAGGCCAAAUCAGCUGCGAUAACAAGCAAGGUCCGCAGGUUAUUUCUGCAACUCCAGGAUGUUGAGAUGCCUCAGGGGAGAUUGAUAUUGUCCCACAUGAGGUCACUUACUGUGUCGGGGGUUGACAAAAUGUCACCCCUUUCUUUUUCCCCUCAAUUACGUGUAUUGGAUUUGGAGGACUGCUAUCUUCAGGAGCAACGCCAUAAAUUACUUGAGCAUCUCGGGAGUUUAUGCCAGUUGAGAUAUCUUGCGUUGGGAGAUAUAUACCCCAGUGAGCUCUUAUUGCCGAUCCAAAUUGGGCAGCUAAAACAUCUGAUAUUCUUAAGUGUUGGUGGUCGCUCCAAAAACAAAUUCAGGCCAGGUGUUAUCAGCAAACUGGAGGCUUUGCAAGUGUUGUUAUCUAUCAGCUUAUCCAAGUCUCCGCACAUUGCAAAAGAGCUAAGGCAUUUGACUAAACUGAGGGUUCUUACUUUCUCGUUGGAAGGUAUGCCUGAUGAGAGCUUCAAGGGUUGGAUUUCGGAGUCUCUAGUUCACCUGGAGAAUUUGCAGAGUUUAAUUGUGCACGCCCCUUACCGUUUGGAUGAGGAAAGUGCUUGUUUGGAUUUCUUAGGGGAAGGAUGGAUGCCCCCUCCUCGGAAUCGCCGUAGGUUUGUUUCACCAUUUGGGAAGUUCUCCUAUCUGCCAUCGUGGAUUAACCCGUCAAAUCUUCGGGAGCUCUCCAUGAUAGAGAUCGGGUUGGGCCACCUGCGGCAGAAGGAUCUUGACAUACUUGGUUCCUUUCCAGUUCUUCAAUCCCUCCGGCUGAGUUGCUACAAGAAUAUCUGGGAUGAAGAAAGGAAACAGUGGCCGGUGAUCAGUGCUGAUACUUUCCAGUGCCUGCAGGAGUGUAAGUUGGGGAUACUUCCCACGGGAGGAAAUAUGUUCGCACCAGGAGCAAUGCCCAAGGUACAAAGCCUUACAUUUUCUUUUAGCUUGGGUUUGGCAAUCCUCCCAUCUCUCCGUGAUAGCUUGGGCUUGGAGAAUCUCCCUUCUCUCCAGGAUCUCCAUGUUUACUUCAGCGAAUUCACCGAUGGGUCCGUCACCCAACAAGCAUAUGACCAAGCGGAGGCUGCAAUUAGCUGUGCAGCAGACAACCAUCCCAACCGCCCCACCCUUCAGUUGGGCUUAUCAUGGCCGGCCAAUGACGCGACUGCUUGGCUGCCGCCGCUGCCGCGACCGGCCCGCCCGCCUUCAAACGCCACCGAUGCCGCGCCUGCCGCCCGCCUUCCGCCUCGGGCCGGCCGCUGA